rnacentral:rRNA from 1 species
AUUGAACGCUGGCGGAAUGCUUUACACAUGCAAGUCGAACGGCAGCACGGGUGCUUGCACCUGGUGGCGAGUGGCGAACGGGUGAGUAAUACAUCGGAACGUACCCAGUCGUGGGGGAUAACGUAGCGAAAGUUACGCUAAUACCGCAUACGUCCUGAGGGAGAAAGCGGGGGGCCGUAAGGCCUCGCGCGAUUGGAGCGGCCGAUGGCGAAUUAGCUAGUUGGUGGGGUAAAGGCCUACCAAGGUGACGAUCCGUAGCGGGUCUGAGAGGACGGCCCGCCACACUGGAACUGAGACACGGUCCAGACUCCUACGGGAGGCAGCAGUGGGGAAUUUUGGACAAUGGGCGCAAGCCUGAUCCAGCCAUGCCGCGUGCGGGAAGAAGGCCUUCGGGUUGUAAACCGCUUUUGUCAGGGAAGAAACGCCUAGGGCUAAUACCCUUGGGUAAUGACGGUACCUGAAGAAUAAGCACCGGCUAACUACGUGCCAGCAGCCGCAGUAA